AGUGUGGCACUGAGUGUAUUUGACAAGCUGAGUCCGACACUCAAUGAGACAGAGUGUCAGUUUGUCAAAUACCCCAAGUGAGGCAC
ensembl:miRNA xtr-mir-223 xtr-mir-223